rnacentral:pre_miRNA from 1 species
AAUAAACUAAUCUUUCAAUUUUUACCUAUAAUAUUUGACUCUUCAUCUUAUUCAACUUUUUUACAAUUAACAUUUUUAUUUUUAUCAGAUGAUAAAUCAUAAAUAGUAAUUUACGUGUGACUAAUUUUUUUUAAUUUCUUAAAAAUUUUUCAAAUAAGACGGAUGGUCAAACGUUAUACAAGAAAAUGAAAG